UACGUAGGGUGCGAGCGUUAAUCGGAAUUACUGGGCGUAAAGCGUGCGCAGGCGGUUUUGUAAGCCAGAUGUGAAAUCCCCGGGCUCAACCUGGGAAUGGCAUUUGGGACUGCAAGGCUUGAGUGCGGCAGAGGAGACUGGAAUUCCUGGUGUAGCAGUGAAAAUGCGUAGAUAUCAGGAGGAAUACCGAUGGCGAAGGCAGGUCUCUGGGUCUGG
rnacentral:rRNA from 1 species